rfam:Ictidomys tridecemlineatus contig048433, whole genome shotgun sequence.
GCGGUUGUGGCUCAGUGGUAGAGCACUCGCCUAGCAUGUUGGAAGCCCUGGGUUCGAUCCUCAGCACCACA